UUGAACGCUGGCGGCAUGCUUUACACAUGCAAGUCGAACGGUAACAGCACUUCGGUGGCUGACGAGUGGCGAACGGGUGAGUAAUACAUCGGAACGUGCCUAGUAGUGGGGGAUAACUACUCGAAAGAGUAGCUAAUACCGCAUGAGAUCUAAGGAUGAAAGCAGGGGACCUUCGGGCCUUGCGCUACUAGAGCGGCUGAUGGCAGAUUAGGUAGUUGGUGGGAUAAAAGCUUACCAAGCCGACGAUCUGUAGCUGGUCUGAGAGGACGACCAGCCACACUGGGACUGAGACACGGCCCAGACUCCUACGGGAGGCAGCAGUGGGGAAUUUUGGACAAAGGGCGCAAGCCUGAUCCAGCAAUGCCGCGUGCAGGAUGAAGGCCUUCGGGUUGUAAACUGCUUUUGUACGGAACGAAAAGCCCUCUUCUAAUACAGGAGGGUCAUGACGGUACCGUAAGAAUAAGCACCGGCUAACUACGUG
rnacentral:rRNA from 1 species